AUUGAACGCUGGCGGCAGGCCUAACACAUGCAAGUCGAGCGAGCGGCGGACGGGUGAGUAAUGUAUGGGGACUGCCCGAUAGAGGGGGCUAACUACUGGAAACGGUAGUUAAUACUGCAUACUAUCGGAUAACCCAUAUGGGAUUAGCUAGUAGGUGAGGUAAUGGCUUACCUAGGCGACGAUCCCUAGCUGGUCUGAGAGGAUGAUCAGCCACACUGGAACGGAGACACGGCCCAGACUCCUACGGAGGCAGCAGUGGGGAAUAUUGGACAAUGGGCGAAAGCCUGAUGCAGCCAUGCCGCGUGUAUGAAGAAGGCCCUAGGGUUGUAAAGCACUUUCAGUCGGGAGGCGUUACCGACAGAAGAAGCACCGGCUAACUCCGUGCCAGCAGCCGCGGUAAUAC
rnacentral:rRNA from 1 species